GGCCCGUUGGUGAAGCGAUUAACACAUUGCCCUCUCAAGGCAAGAUUCAUGGGUUUGAACCCCAUACGGGUCACCA
rnacentral:tRNA from 1 species